rnacentral:rRNA from 1 species
UACGAAGGGGGCUAGCGUUGUUCGGAAUUACUGGGCGUAAAGGGCGCGUAGGCGGUGUGUCAAGUCAGGCGUGAAAGCCCCGGGCUCAACCUGGGAACCGCGCUUGAGACUGGCACGCUAGAGUUCGGGAGAGGAUGGUGGAAUUCCCAGUGUAGAGGUGAAAUUCGUAGAUAUUGGGAAGAACACCGAUGGCGAAGGCAGCCAUCUGGACCGACACUGACGCUGAGGCGGCGAAAGCGUGGGGAGCAAACAGGAUU